UCAGGAUAGAGACCAGGAGAUCGGAGGUAAGUGAUUCGAAUACAGUUUUAUUCAGGUGACAAUCGUGUAAGGUGAGUAUAAGGUGAAUUUUCAGGUGCAGAUUUAGUGAAGAUCACUUGAUGCACGGAGAACAACAGGUGAUCCAGGUCACUUCAAUCGUAGUAUAAUUACUCAGUCUCAGUUCGUUAAUCCUUUCUCUCUUCUAGGAAUGAUCGGAGCAACUUGGUCAGAUCUCGAACAUGGGUUCUCAGGAAUCGGAUGGGAGAUCUGGAGAUGGCAGAACAAUAUUGCAAAGGGUUAGUAUGAGUCAGGUAAGGAAACAGAAUACUCAGGAGUUCAGAGUUAACAGGAUUCUCAGGACACGGGAAGAAACGGUCUGUUCCUGUUGGAGGCUUGACAAAGACUGGAAUCGCAGUGAGUGUUCUUAUGAGCUGGUUGAUGAGGUAAUUGAUGAUGACCAGGUGUGUGUGUUUAAUAUUCUGGAGAGAGUGAUCUUUGAGUGGUGGGCUGAAACGAGCUUGAUUGAUCCCUGACACCCCCUCUACAUUCCUUAGAUACAGUGGCAUUCCAUUGCAAUGACUAUUACUGAUCAAUGAGUAUUAAAAUUUCUACAACAGCCCACACUUGUUUAAAUGCUGAUUUUUUCACCCAUCGUCAUCUUCUGAAUUAACAGGUGAGUGCCCUUUUGCUUUGCUUUUUAUCAUAGCCAGAAUACAUCACAUUUGUGUUGAACUCAUAUUGUGCUGUGAUAAUGAUUUUGGUAGCCUACCUGCCAUCCGAUCCCAAUAUCAACUAAAUAAACAGUUUGUAACAUUAUAUUUCCGUCUUUAAGCCCAAGAUCUUUGUUUCUUUUACAAAAUUUGUUUUCUUGAAGUGAAUACAAUGCUUUUGGGAAACAAAAGUUUUAUGCAGGGAUGCAUGCUAUUCCUUCUCUUUUAAUCUGAAAAUGUUGGUGAUACUGGAAUGGUAUCAAACUUUUUAAACACUUGUUUCAGAGGGAAGCCAACUGCAACUGUGUCACAUAGAUUGCAGCUGGAUUUCUGAAUCGGAUCUUAUAUUGCAAGCGCACUGAAAUGACAAGCAACAGCCACAGCAGCUAAUGUAGAAAUGACACUUAAGCUACCUGCAACUCCUCGACUGAUACUCCUUGUUUCAGGUGAAACACUGGGAAAAUGUAUUCACCACUGGAUGAUCAGCCUUGAGGGGCACAUUUGUGAAGGCAUCCAUCCAACUUUUCUGUCUGGGCUUGCUGCUGCCUUUUCUACUUUCUACACCUUAAAUCUUCAGUACCAAGAUUAUGCUGCAUGCACACUGGAAUUCAUUCAAAGGCUUUUCAUCAGGAUAAAUCCUGAGAGAAGCAUCAAUGAUGGACGAGGCAAAGUCCUGUCAAAGCAUACGGGGAUAGUUGUCCAGAAAAAGAUGACAUCAGUCAAUCCUCGUGUCUCCAGUCUACUAAAGAAACAAAUGGACUUUGAGUGGGACUUUAUAUAAGUCAGUGAAACCAGUCACACACACACACACACACACACACACACACACACACACACACACACACACACACACAUGUUGUGUUUCCAUGUUUUAUGGGGACUUUCCAUAGACAUAAUGGUUUUUAUACUGUACAAACUUUAUAUUCUAUCCCCUAAACCUAACCCUACCCCUAAACCUAACCCUCACAGAAAACCUUCUGCAUUUUUACAUUUUCAAAAAACAUAAUUUAGUAUGAUUUAUAAGCUGUUUUCCUCAUGGGGACCGACAAAAUGUCCCCACAAGGUCAAACAUUUCGGGUUUUACUAUCCUUAUGGGGACAUUUGGUCCUCACAAAGUGAUAAAUACACGCUCUCACACACACACACACACACACACAUGUUGUGUUUCCAUGUUUUAUGGGGACUUUCGAUAGACAUAAUGGUUUUUAUACUGUAAAAACUUUAUAUUCUAUCCCCUAAACCUAACCCUACCCCUAAACCUAACCCUCACAGAAAACAUUCUGCAUUUUUACAUUUUCAAAAAACAUAAUUUAGUAUGAUUUAUAAGCUGUUUUCCUCAUGGGG